CUUGAAGAAUGAGUAGCCAUCAUCUUUUAUAUUUUAAAGUAACUCUUGAAGAAUUAGUUGUUAGCGCAAUGUAUCUUCUAUCUUGUUUUCCAUAAAUUAUCCGUGUGUUUGAUCAUCGUUGCUCUAAAUUGUUGUGCAGCUUAGGAAGUUACCAAACCAACUAUACUCAAGAUCUGCGAAAUGUAUUGUGGCAUAUAUACAGCAAGAUGCAGAAUAAGGAAAAAGGAUACACCCUAUUGUACACUUCGAUAUAAGCAUUUAUGACCAUGGAGACAUUUUGUGCAUAGUAAACUUCAGAUAUAAUUUGUGGCUCAACCACCUCGAGGUAUAAUCCUUGUAUUGUAUAGAUGGAGAAAUUCUUAUUAAGUCAUAUUAUGAGAAUUCAAUUUGCUUGUGGAUCACAUCAUGAUAUCUUUUAG